AGCGAACGCUGGCGGCAGGCCUAACACAUGCAAGUCGAACGAACUCUUCGGAGUUAGUGGCGGACGGGUGAGUAACACGUGGGAACGUGCCUUUUGGUUCGGAAUAACUCAGGGAAACUUGUGCUAAUACCGAAUGUGCCCUUCGGGGGAAAGAUUUAUCGCCAUUAGAGCGGCCCGCGUCUGAUUAGCUAGUUGGUGAGAUAACGGCUCACCAAGGCGACGAUCAGUAGCUGGUCUGAGAGGAUGACCAGCCACACUGGGACUGAGACACGGCCCAGACUCCUACGGGAGGCAGCAGUGGGGAAUCUUGCGCAAUGGGCGAAAGCCUGACGCAGCCAUGCCGCGUGAAUGAUGAAGGUCUUAGGAUUGUAAAAUUCUUUCACCGGGGACGAUAAUGACGGUACCCGGAGAAGAAGCCCCGGCUAACUUCGCG
rnacentral:rRNA from 1 species